rnacentral:rRNA from 1 species
UUCAACUCCCAACCCAAUGUGAACGUUACCAAACUGUUGCCUCGGCGGGAUCUCUGCCCCGGGUGCGUCGCAGCCCCGGACCAAGGCGCCCGCCGGAGGACCAACCAAAACUCUUAUUGUAUACCCCCUCGCGGGUUUUUUUUAUAAUCUGAGCCUUCUCGGCGCCUCUCGUAGGCGUUUCGAAAAUGAAUCAAAACUUUCAACAACGGAUCUCUUGGUUCUGGCAUCGAUGAAGAACGCAGCGAAAUGCGAUAAGUAAUGUGAAUUGCAGAAUUCAGUGAAUCAUCGAAUCUUUGAACGCACAUUGCGCCCGCCAGUAUUCUGGCGGGCAUGCCUGUCCGAGCGUCAUUUCAACCCUCGAACCCCUCCGGGGGGUCGGCGUUGGGGAUCGGCCCUGCCUUGGCGGUGGCCGUCUCCGAAAUACAGUGGCGGUCUCGCCGCAGCCUCUCCUGCGCAGUAGUUUGCACACUCGCAUCGGGAGCGCGGCGCGUCCACAGCCGUUAAACACCCAACUUCUGAAAUGUUGACCUCGGAUCAGGUAGGAAUACCCGCUGAACUUAAGCAUAUCAAUAAGCGGAGGAA